rnacentral:rRNA from 1 species
GAUCUAGCCAUGGGCAGGUUGAAGGUUGGGUAACACUAACUGGAGGACCGAACCGACUAAUGUUGAAAAAUUAGCGGAUGACUUGUGGCUGGGGGUGAAAGGCCAAUCAAACCGGGAGAUAGCUGGUUCUCCCCGAAAGCUAUUUAGGUAGCGCCUCGUGAAUUCAUCUCCGGGGGUAGAGCACUGUUUCGGCAAGGGGGUCAUCCCGACUUACCAACCCGAUGCAAACUGCGAAUACCGGAGAAUGUUAUCACGGGAGACACACGGCGGGUGCUAACGUCCGUCGUGAAGAGGGAAACAACCCAGACCGCCAGCUAAGGUCCCAAAGUCAUGGUUAAGUGGGAAACGAUGUGGGAAGGCCCAGACAGCCAGGAUGUUGGCUUAGAAGCAGCCAUCAUUUAAAGAAAGCGUAAUAGCUCACUGGUCGAGUCGGCCUGCGCGGAAGAUGUAACGGGGCUAAACCAUGCACCGAAGCUGCGGCAGCGACGCUGAUGCGUUGUUGGGUAGGGGAGCGUUCUGUAAGCCUGUGAAGGUGUGCUGUGAGGCAUGCUGGAGGUAUCAGAAGUGCGAAUGCUGACAUAAGUAACGAUAAAGCGGGUGAAAAGCCCGCUCGCCGGAAGACCAAGGGUUCCUGUCCAACGUUAAUCGGGGCAGGGUGAGUCGACCCCUAAGGCGAGGCCGAAAGGCGUAGUCGAUGGGAAACAGGUUAAUAUUCCUGUACUUGGUGUUACUGCGAAGGGGGGACGGAGAAGGCUAUGUUGGCCGGGCGACGGUUGUCCCGGUUUAAGCGUGUAGGCUGGUUUUCCAGGCAAAUCCGGAAAACUAAGGCUGAGGCGUGAUGACGAGGCACUACGGUGCUGAAGCAACAAAUGCCCUGCUUCCAGGAAAAGCCUCUAAGCAUCAGGUAACAUCAAAUCGUACCCCAAACCGACACAGGUGGUCAGGUAGAGAAUACCAAGGCGCUUGAGAGAACUCGGGUGAAGGAACUAGGCAAAAUGGUGCCGUAACUUCGGGAGAAGGCACGCUGAUAUGUAGGUGAAGUCCCUCGCGGAUGGAGCUGAAAUCAGUCGAAGAUACCAGCUGGCUGCAACUGUUUAUUAAAAACACAGCACUGUGCAAACACGAAAGUGGACGUAUACGGUGUGACGCCUGCCCGGUGCCGGAAGGUUAAUUGAUGGGGUCAGCGCAAGCGAAGCUCUUGAUCGAAGCCCCGGUAAACGGCGGCCGUAACUAUAACGGUCCUAAGGUAGCGAAAUUCCUUGUCGGGUAAGUUCCGACCUGCACGAAUGGCGUAAUGAUGGCCAGGCUGUCUCCACCCG